rnacentral:rRNA from 1 species
GGUUAAGCGACUAAGCGUACACGGUGGAUGCCCUGGCAGUCAGAGGCGAUGAAGGACGUGCUAAUCUGCGAAAAGCGUCGGUAAGGUGAUAUGAACCGUUAUAACCGGCGAUGUCCGAAUGGGGAAACCCAGUGCAAUUCGUUGCACUAUCGUUAACUGAAUACAUAGGUUAACGAGGCGAACCGGGGGAACUGAAACAUCUAAGUACCCCGAGGAAAAGAAAUCAACCGAGAUUCCCCCAGUAGCGGCGAGCGAACGGGGAGCAGCCCAGAGUCUGAAUCAGCUUGUGUGUUAGUGGAACGGUCUGGAAAGUCCGACGGUACAGGGUGAUAGUCCCGUACACCAAAAUGCACAGGUUGUGAACUCGAAGAGUAGGGCGGGACACGUGGUAUCCUGUCUGAAUAUGGGGGGACCAUCCUCCAAGGCUAAAUACUCCUGACUGACCGAUAGUGAACCAGUACCGUGAGGGAAAGGCGAAAAGAACCCCGGCGAGGGGAGUGAAAAAGAACCUGAAACCGUGUACGUACAAGCAGUGGGAGCACCUUCGGGUGUGACUGCGUACCUUUUGUAUAAUGGGUCAGCGACUUAUAUUCUGUAGCAAGGUUAACCGUAUAGGGGAGCCGCAGGGAAACCGAGUCUUAACUGGGCGUUAAGUUGCAGGGUAUAGACCCGAAACCCGGUGAUCUAGCCAUGGGCAGGUUGAAGGUUGGGUAACACUAACUGGAGGACCGAACCGACUAAUGUUGAAAAAUUAGCGGAUGACUUGUGGCUGGGGGUGAAAGGCCAAUCAAACCGGGAGAUAGCUGGUUCUCCCCGAAAGCUAUUUAGGUAGCGCCUCGUGAAUUCAUCUUCGGGGGUAGAGCACUGUUUCGGCUAGGGGGUCAUCCCGACUUACCAACCCGAUGCAAACUACGAAUACCGAAGAAUGUUAUCACGGGAGACACACGGCGGGUGCUAACGUCCGUCGUGAAGAGGGAAACAACCCAGACCGCCAGCUAAGGUCCCAAAGUCAUGGUUAAGUGGGAAACGAUGUGGGAAGGCACAGACAGCCAGGAUGUUGGCUUAGAAGCAGCCAUCAUUUAAAGAAAGCGUAAUAGCUCACUGGUCGAGUCGGCCUGCGCGGAAGAUGUAACGGGGCUAAACCAUGCACCGAAGCUGCGGCAGCGACACUAUGUGUUGUUGGGUAGGGGAGCGUUCUGUAAGCCUGCGAAGGUGUGCUGUGAGGCAUGCUGGAGGUAUCAGAAGUGCGAAUGCUGACAUAAGUAACGAUAAAGCGGGUGAAAAGCCCGCUCGCCGGAAGACCAAGGGUUCCUGUCCAACGUUAAUCGGGGCAGGGUGAGUCGACCCCUAAGGCGAGGCCGAAAGGCGUAGUCGAUGGGAAACAGGUUAAUAUUCCUGUACUUGGUGUUACUGCGAAGGGGGGACGGAGAAGGCUAUGUUAGCCGGGCGACGGUUGUCCCGGUUUAAGCAUGUAGGCUGGUUGUCCAGGCAAAUCCGGAUAAUCAAGGCUGAGGUGUGAUGACGAGGCACUACGGUGCUGAAGUAACAAAUGCCCUGCUUCCAGGAAAAGCCUCUAAGCAUCAGGUAACAUCAAAUCGUACCCCAAACCGACACAGGUGGUCAGGUAGAGAAUACCAAGGCGCUUGAGAGAACUCGGGUGAAGGAACUAGGCAAAAUGGUGCCGUAACUUCGGGAGAAGGCACGCUGGUGUGUAGGUGAAGUCCCUGCGGAUGGAGCUGAGACCAGUCGAAGAUACCAGCUGGCUGCAACUGUUUAUUAAAAACACAGCACUGUGCAAACACGAAAGUGGACGUAUACGGUGUGACGCCUGCCCGGUGCCGGAAGGUUAAUUGAUGGGGUUAUCCGUAAGGAGAAGCUCUUGAUCGAAGCCCCGGUAAACGGCGGCCGUAACUAUAACGGUCCUAAGGUAGCGAAAUUCCUUGUCGGGUAAGUUCCGACCUGCACGAAUGGCGUAAUGAUGGCCAGGCUGUCUCCACCCGAGACUCAGUGAAAUUGAACUCGCUGUGAAGAUGCAGUGUACCCGCGGCAAGACGGAAAGACCCCGUGAACCUUUACUAUAGCUUGACACUGAACAUUGAGCCUUGAUGUGUAGGAUAGGUGGGAGGCUUUGAAGCGUGGACGCCAGUCUGCGUGGAGCCAACCUUGAAAUACCACCCUUUAAUGUUUGAUGUUCUAACGUUGGCCCCUUACCGGGGUUGCGGACAGUGUCUGGUGGGUAGUUUGACUGGGGCGGUCUCCUCCCAAAGCGUAACGGAGGAGCACGAAGGUUAGCUAAUCCUGGUCGGACAUCAGGAGGUUAGUGCAAUGGCAUAAGCUAGCUUGACUGCGAGCGUGACGGCGCGAGCAGGUGCGAAAGCAGGUCAUAGUGAUCCGGUGGUUCUGAAUGGAAGGGCCAUCGCUCAACGGAUAAAAGGUACUCCGGGGAUAACAGGCUGAUACCGCCCAAGAGUUCAUAUCGACGGCGGUGUUUGGCACCUCGAUGUCGGCUCAUCACAUCCUGGGGCUGAAGUAGGUCCCAAGGGUAUGGCUGUUCGCCAUUUAAAGUGGUACGCGAGCUGGGUUUAGAACGUCGUGAGACAGUUCGGUCCCUAUCUGCCGUGGGCGCUGGAGAAUUGAGGGGGGCUGCUCCUAGUACGAGAGGACCGGAGUGGACGCAUCACUGGUGUUCGGGUUGUCAUGCCAAUGGCACUGCCCGGUAGCUAAAUGCGGAAGAGAUAAGUGCUGAAAGCAUCUAAGCACGAAACUUGCCCCGAGAUGAGUUCUCCCUGAGACUUUAAGUCUCCUGAAGGAACGUUGAAGACGACGACGUUGAUAGGCCGGGUGUGUAAGCGCAGCGAUGCGUUGAGCUAACCGGUACUAAUGAACCGUGAGGCUUAACCUU